AUGUCUCAAGUGAGAGAUUCGGCCAUUAAGCUUUUCGGGAGGAAUAUUCCGGUGGCUGACUCUCGGAUUCCCUCGGUUUCCGAACAAGGCUCCAGCUCAGAACGUCAUUCUCCAGCAAUUCCUUUAGUCACGUUCCACAGUUUUCUAAGGUGAGUGGCUACAACUACAAGUGCUUAAUUAACAAAAGAUAACCAUGGAAGAUCGGGAAUAUUAUAUCAUCAGUAAAGCUACUGGUAGUUUCCAAACACUAAAUCCCUCAGCAACGAGUUAAGGAAUCGUAAGUGAUGCCUGCAAGAGGAGUAUAGUUCUGAGUUCAACAGUUUCAAUGUGGACUCAUAAUAUAGAAUUCAAACAUGAACCUGAGUGAUAUCAUUGCACUUACAAGUGAAACCUAAAUAAACCGUAAUAUUUUAGGAAUAGUGGAAAACAAAAAUCCUACCGAAAAAGACAUUGAGGGAGCAAGAUGUCUAUUUCUUUUGGUGUUUUCAUGGAUUGGUGAUAUGGAUGGUUUGGGAUUGUACCCUGAAUUUGAGCUUUGAACUUUGUUGCAUAGACUCAUGCUUGUGUGCUAUUGAUUUCAAAUAUCUGCUGUGAGUUAUGUUGCCUGUGUUUGCUGUUACUGUUUUUAUUAUUUAUUACUUAUAUUUACCUAUAAAAUUUAUUUAUUACUCAUAUAUAUGGGCUUUUAUUGAAGAAUUAUAAACCCAAAUCCGUCUUUGAUAUGGAAUAAGAUGUGCUAGAUUUGGUUAUUUUCUAUCAUAUAAGUCGUUUGUUGUUACUACAUGCCUCAUUGAAGUUUAGGGGUUUACUUUUGAUGCCAGUAUUUUCCUCGUGGAAAAUUAUAAACCUACAACUAGUCUACAAUCAUGUUACAACUCUAUUUAAAAUGAAGGAUAAUUAUGUAAAAUUGAAAAUAUUUUGUAAUGAAGUGGCACAUGAUUUGAAGUAAGUAGUAAAAUAGUUGUAAAAGAGCUGUAAGUAUAUCAUUAUCCCCAAUUACAAUAUGGAUGUGAAGUAACACAAAUUAAAAUGAAUGACCCUCUGAUGGAGAAUUUUUGCGAGCAGGAUAUUCCUUCUGAGCUAGAUAAUAAAAAAGAUACCAAAAACCAAAAUCCCUUAAUAGAGAAUGAGGCCAAAGUAGAUCAUAAUCCUGAGGAAGACCGAGCUGCUAAAAAUGAUGCAGGUGGCCAAGAGAAGGUUUUAAGGAAGCCAAACAAGGUUCUCCCCUGUCCUCGCUGCACCAGCCUGGAGACAAAGUUUUGCUAUUUCAACAACUACAAUGUAAACCAACCUAGACAUUUUUGCAAGAAUUGCCAGAGAUAUUGGACAGCUGGAGGGUCAAUUAGAAAUGUUCGUGUCGGGGCUGGAAGGCGCAAGGAUAAGCCUUCGGAGUACCAUCAAGUAGUGGUGCCAUCUAAUGCACCAGUCACCAAAGCAGACAGCCUUAACUCUGCUAGCGACCAGCAUCCCCAAUGUCUUGAACUUCCUGCCUCUUUAAGACUUGACAAAGGAACAGGAGCAGUUCUAAAUAUUAGCAAAGAUGCUCCACAAUGGGAAUCCAUGUCAACUGUGCUCAAUCUCAAAGAACAAAAGAAAAAUGUUGAAACUCCAGGACAUCUGGUUUCUGAGGAGAGUAGCGAGGAGCCCUUAUCACCUGGCUCUUCCUUCACAGCUGCUACUUCUCACAAAAGUGAAUCUCCAGGACGUUGCAACAGUUUCAAUUUAACUCAUCCACUGCAGUGUUACCCUGUUUCCCAACGUGCACGCCAUUGGAACCCAGGUUCGAAUGCAAUGGUGUUUGGACCUGGUAGUAGUAUCUCUAAUACUGGUCAUAUGGGUUCUUCACCUUUGGUGCCAGUUCCUGGCUUCUGUGAAGCAACAUUCCCGCUUCUUCCUGUGCCAUACAGUGGAUGUGUGCCAAGCUGGGAUGCCAGGAAGUGGAAUAAACAGUUGGUCAGAUCUAAUGGUAGCCCAACAGUUUCAUCUUCUACUGGCAACAGCAGCUGUUCAGGUAAUAGCUCACCAAUCUUGGGAAAGCAUUCAAGGGAUGCAAAUUCACUGGCUGAAGAAACAAAGGAACAGAGCCUUUGGGUACCUAAGACACUGAGAGUUAAUCACCCAGAAGAGGCUGCAAAGAGUUCCAUAUGGUCUACUUUGGGUAUUGAGCCUGACAAGGACAAAUCCAGCGCCAGAGGUGGCAUUUUUAAAGCUUCCCAAUCCAAAUCAAAUACAAAUUCUCAUACAUCAGAUGCUGAUGAAGGCUAUCCACUUCGCCACCAACAGUUAAUGGUCAUGGGCUCCGAAUUUUUGUGCUGUGAUGAUGGUCAAUGCCAAUUGUUUGGCUCUCAUACCUCUAAGUGAUAGAUUGCAUUUGCAUGCCAUGUUUGAUUACAUGAAGAAAGAGAAUUCCCAUUAUUCAAGAAUACAUCACUUUGAGGAGUAUUCCAACUCCAAGUUUCAAGGAGGAUGUCACAGCUCAGUUUUCAUUGUACUGAGUGACGAGUGUCACAGCUCUAUGAAUCCUGAAUCUGUGUGGCUGCAAACUGAGAAUUGCAAAGAACAUUUUCAAGACAGAGGCCUAUCCAUCAGAUGGUGUGCUAGACAGCACCUGGUAUACAUGUCUCCAUCAUAGCCUUCAAUGAUUAGUCUGAGCUCUCCUUUUGAAUUGUCGGAUCAGCAAUACUGCCUCGAGAUGUUUCAUCAAAGGAUCUGUUGCGAAAACGAGGAUAGAAAAGCAAAAGUAAAUAAGAAAAUAAACAAACAAUCAAUUACUUGACUCAAGUUUACGAGGUUCGGCAAUAUGCUACCGUCCAUAGAGCUAAAGAUGAGUUUAUUAUGUCGAGAAAUUAUAAAAUAUACUUUGGGGUGAAAAUAUUAUUGUUUAGAUAGUCAUGCUAUUCAUAAUAAGUGUAUUUAUAUGGUUUCACGGAGGAAGUCCAAAUCUUCACUUUUCUGUGAUAUUUACACGAGCGGAGUGUCAAGCGCGCAUCGAGCGAACUCUCUGUUUGGUGUUCACUAAGUGCCGAGUUAAACAAACUCUCGGCUUGGACUUCGCUCGAGCCCACUGUCAAAUAAACUCAAGUAAAAUUUUUGUCUAA